rnacentral:rRNA from 1 species
GAUGAACGCUGGCGGCGUGCCUAAUACAUGCAAGUCGAGCGAACGGACGAGAAGCUUGCUUUUCUGAUGUUAGCGGCGGACGGGUGAGUAACACGUGGAUAACAUACCUAUAAGACUGGGAUAACUUCGGGAAACCGGAGCUAAUACCGGAUAAUAUUUUGAACCGCAUGGUUCAAAAGUGAAAGACGGUCUUGCUGUCACUUAUAGAUGGAUCCGCGCUGCAUUAGCUAGUUGGUAAGGUAACGGCUUACCAAGGCAACGAUGCAUAGCCGACCUGAGAGGGUGAUCGGCCACACUGGAACUGAGACACGGUCCAGACUCCUACGGGAGGCAGCAGUAGGGAAUCUUCCGCAAUGGGCGAAAGCCUGACGGAGCAACGCCGCGUGGGUGAUGAAGGUCUUCGGAUCGUAAACCUCUUUUAUUAGGGAAGAACAUAUGUGUAAGUAUCUGUGCACGUCUUGACGGUACCUAAUCAGAAAGCCACGGCUAACUACGUG